GACAGAGGUGCCAAGCGUUAGGCGGAAUCACUGGGCUUAAAGCGUGUGUAGGCGGCUCGUUUAGUACCUUGUGAAAUCCCACGGCUCAACCGUGGAACUGCUCGGUAUACUGGCGGGCUUGAGCCAUCUAGGGGCUACCGGAACAAAUGGUGGAGCGGUGAAAUGCGUAGAUAUCGGGAAGAACACCCGUGGCUAAGGCGGCUCUCUAGUACGGUACUGACGCUGAGACGCGAAAGCGUGGGGAGCGAACAGG
rnacentral:rRNA from 1 species